GGGAUUGCCUUAGUAACGGCGAGUGAAGCGGCAACAGCUCAAAUUUGAAAUCUGGCGUCUUUGGCGUCCGAGUUGUAAUUUGCAGAGGAUGCUUCGGCGUUGGCGCCGCCCAAAGUUCCUUGGAACGGGACGUCGCAGAGGGUGAGAGCCCCGUGUUCGGGCGGAUGCCUUCGCCGUGUGAAGCUCCUUCGACGAGUCGAGUUGUUUGGGAAUGCAGCUCAAAACGGGAGGUAAAUUUCUUCCAAAGCUAAAUACCGGCCGGAGACCGAUAGUGCACAAGUAGAGUGAUCGAAAGAUGAAAAGCACUUUGGAAAGAGAGUCAAACAGCGCGUGAAAUUGUUAAAAGGGAAGCGCUUGCGGUCAGAACUUGGCCGCCGUUGCUCGGGGAGGUCUUGCGCCUCCCUCGCUCUUCGGCGGCUGGGCCAGCAUCGGUUCGGGCGGCUCGAGAAAGGUCGCGGGAAUGUAGCUCCCUCCGGGGAGUGUUAUAGCCCGCGGCGCAAUAGGGCCCGCCUGGACCGAGGUCUGCGCAUUUGCUCGGAUGCUGGCGUAAUGGCCCCAAGCGGCCCGUCUUGAAACACGGACCAAGGAGUCUAACAUUCGUGCGAGUGUUCGGGUGUCAAACCCGUGCGCGCAAUGAAAGUGAACGUAGGUGGGAACCCCUCGUGGGCGCACCAUCGACCGAUCCUGAUGUCUUCGGAUGGAUUUGAGUAUGAGCACGUAUGUUGGGACCCGAAAGAUGGUGAACUAUGCCUAAGCAGGGCGAAGCCAGAGGAAACUCUGGUGGAGGCUCGCAGCGGUUCUGACGUGCAAAUCGAUCGUCAAAUUUGGGUAUAGGGGCGAAAGACUAAUC
rnacentral:rRNA from 1 species